rnacentral:rRNA from 1 species
CGGUGAAAUGCGCAGAUAUCGGGAGGAACACCGGCGGCGAAGGCGGUUCUCUGGGCCUGACCUGACGCUGAGGAGCGAAAGCGUGGGGAGCGAACAGGAUUAGAUACCCUGGUAGUCCACGCCGUAAACGUUGGGCGCUAGGUGUGGGGUCCUUCCACGGAUUCCGUGCCGCAGCUAACGCAUUAAGCGCCCCGCCUGGGGAGUACGGCCGCAAGGCUAAAACUCAAAGGAAUUGACG